ACAGAGCAAUGGAUGAAGGCUGAUAUCAAUAUGUGUGAGAGACGUGUUACCAAUGCUCAAAUGCUAGCUGAGGUUGAGCUACAUGACAACCUAGAGAAAGGUACAUUCUCUUCUUUCUUUUUAAAUAUUGCUUCAUAUUUACAUGUCUUAAGAUAAGUAGUAACAUAUUCUUGUGAUAUUUGUAGAGUUUGAUACUCUCAACCUAGUCUAGAAGAAUGUAUGCAAGUUGGGGAAGAUGGAGACGAAGGGUAAGAAGAAGGUGGUCCGAAGAAUGAAGUUAUGUUGUUGCUUGCUUUGUUGUUGAUUCGAUGGUUUUUUUUUCAUUGUCGGAUGCUAUUUUUUUUUCAUUGUCGGAAGCUAUGUUUGUUUCAUUGUCUCAUGCUAUGUUUGUUUCAAAACUGAUGGUUGCUUUGCUUUUUUCAUUUUGGAGUUGAAACUUUGGCUUUUUUAUAUGGUUUACGGUUCUAUCGGAUAUUUCGGUUCUUUAAGAUGAUUUUUUGGUUCUAUCGGAUUAAAGGGGUUGCUAAUACACUAGAACCGAACCGAAGCGAUUAAUUUUUUGGUUACUUCGGAUGUAACCGGAUCCAAACCGUAUCCGAACCGAAAUUUAAAAUUAUCUGAACAGUACCAUUUUCU
rnacentral:lncRNA from 1 species